GGGAUAAUAGUUAAUUUUAACAUUUAAGUUGCAUUUAAAAAAUAUUGAACUUCAAUUUAUCUUA
rnacentral:tRNA from 1 species